GGCAGUGUACCAAAAAAAAACAAAACCCCUUUUGCCUUUGGAACCAAAAAAUCAAAUACAAAAUCAAGCAAGAAAUUGGUGAUGGACUGAAAACCCUUUUUCCAGUUUGACUUUUAGCAGCCCUUUGAUGAAGAGAUAGACAUUAUUGAUGAUGCUCGAUGCUUGAUGCUUGAUGCUCUAUCAUUAAUACAUGUGCCCUUGGCUGGCUAGAGUUCGUAAUCAUUAAGGACAGGACGACUGCAGCCUAUCACCAGCUCUGGGAAUGGGGAGAAGCAGGUGAACAGUGUUCUAUGGUGUCCCUUUGGGCUGGGUACAAGAAGCACGGUACAGAUGGACUAAGCGCAUGAAAUAAAGAUCAGCGAGUAAAAUAAAGAGUGGAGGGAAAGAAAGCCUGACACCCUGUUGUUUCAAAUGGAUGGUGAAGCACUAAUACGAGGAUACUGUGUUAUCCAUGUAUAACCCAACUAGGUUCAUUUCAAGCAGCAGAAUCAAUUGCUUCUUACUUGUUUCUUCUCUCAAAAAGAAAAAUUAUUUAUUUAGUUAAAUGAAGAGAAUCAUAAAAAAUCAAAGUGAAGAAUUCAAUUCCA